rnacentral:rRNA from 1 species
UACGGGGGGGGCAAGCGUUGUUCGGAAUUACUGGGCGUAAAGGGCUCGGAGGCGGCCAUCUAAGUCAGACGUGAAAUCCCUCGGCUUAACCGGGGAACUGCGUCUGAUACUGGUUGGCUUGAAUCCGGGAGAGGGAUGUGGAAUUCCAGGUGUAGCGGUGAAAUGCGUAGAUAUCUGGAGGAACACCGGUGGCGAAGGCGGCAUCCUGGACCGGUAUUGACGCUGAACGGCGAAAGCUAGGGGAGCAAACGGG